rnacentral:rRNA from 1 species
CGCCUCUUGAUAAGAGGUCCAGCCUGCCCAGUGACGUUCAACGGCCGCGGUAUCCUAACCGUGCGAAGGUAGCGUAAUCACUUGUUUUCUAAAUAAAGACUAGUAUGAAAGGCAUCACGAGGGUUUUGCUGUCUCCUUUUUCCAAUCAGUGAAUCUAAUCUCCCCGUGAAGAAGCGGGGAUUAAAAUAUAAGACGAGAAGACCCUGUGGAGCUUAAGACUUUAUAACACCUGCAUUCUAAUUAUACCUCUUUGGUUGGGGUGACCGCGGAGGACAACUAACCCUCCACAAUGAAAAGCAAUAAGUUACAACUUUAUGCAUCAAAAAACUGACAUAUUGACCCAAUAAAUUGAUUAAUGAACCAAGUUACCCCAGGGAUAACAGCACAAUCCGCUUUAAGAGCUCAUAUCGACAAGGGCUUAUGACCUCGAUGUUGGAUCGGGAUAUCCUAGUGGUGCAGCCGCUACUAAGGGUUCGUUUGUUCAACGAUUAAAACCCC